AGGUUAUGUAAUGCAGCCAAGGAUGACUUGCCGGCAAGCUUCUAUUAAUCAUGUUCUAAAACUCUAUUGCCGACAAGUUAUCUCUGGCUAUGUAAAAACCUCG
rfam:Lupinus angustifolius cultivar Tanjil contig_26980, whole genome shotgun sequence.